rnacentral:lncRNA from 1 species
GUGGACUUAGCUGCCAUGCCAUGAGUCAUAUUUCUUAAUUUAUUCAUCCACUCGGACUUUUAUAGUGGGUAGGCCUAUAUACUGCCACAUAAUCUUGACAACAUAUACAACUCCCAAUAUAAUAUUGCGCCCCCCGUCCCCCUCUCCCCCCCAAAAAAACACAACUUUGAUCCAACUUAUACAUAAACUAUUAUACUAUAAAGUCCGGAGGAGGACCUCUAAGCGCAUUUACACAGACUAGAAACAUGGCAUCCAAGUGGUCAACUCCUCUUGCUCUUUUUACUCUCCUCCUCCUCUUGUUUGCCAUUGGUUAGUUCUCUCUCGGUUUGUUUUCAAUAAGUUCUUAGUAGAUUGUGUGAUACCAAUUAACUAAUCUAUAUGUGUAUAAAUGUUUCUUAAUGUCCUUACCAUAGAUAUAUUAAUUUACGAGUGUAAAAUUGAUGGUUAAUGAAAACUCUAUUGCAGUUGCAUCGUGCCGAAGAAUAGAAUUAGCAGAAGCCAUGGAAGAAGAGGUACUUGCAGAAGAAGCGGCAACAUUAAUAGAACUAGUGACAAGCAAGCUGCGCCCACCAGCAUGCUAUCGAAUGCGCUGUAACAAUAAUGGAGAUUGCCGAAGUCAUGGUUGCUCUGGCUGCUCUGUAAUUUCUCAUUAUUGUCAUCGUUAGUUACACCAAGUUGUAUAGUGUCUAGACAUGUAAC